GAACUAUAGAGUUUGAUCCUGGCUCAGAUUGAACGCUGGCGGCAUGCCUUACACAUGCAAGUCGAACGGUAACGCGGGGCAACCUGGCGACGAGUGGCGAACGGGUGAGUAAUACAUCGGAACGUGCCCAGUAGUGGGGGAUAGCCCGGCGAAAGCCGGAUUAAUACCGCAUACGACCUAAGGGUGAAAGCGGGGGAUCGCAAGACCUCGCGCUAUUGGAGCGGCCGAUAUCAGAUUAGGUAGUUGGUGGGGUAAA
rnacentral:rRNA from 1 species